rnacentral:tRNA from 1 species
UUUUCUCUAGUAUAAUUAAAUACGUUAGUUUUUCACGCUAAAAAUAGGGGUAUUCCUGAGGAGGU